rnacentral:rRNA from 1 species
UACGGGGGGGGCAAGCGUUGUUCGGAUUUACUGGGCGUAAAGGGCGCGUAGGCGGCUUGCCAAGUCACUUGUGAAAUCUCUGGGCUUAACCCAGAACGGCCAAGUGAAACUGGCAUGCUAGAGUGCAGAAGGGGCAAUCGGAAUUCUUGGUGUAGCGGUGAAAUGCGUAGAUAUCAAGAGGAGCACCUGAGGUGAAGACGGGUUGCUGGGCUGACAUUGACGCUGAGGCGCGAAAGCCAGGGGAGCAAACGGG